GAAGGUAACAAUUAGACAAAGCCAAACUACACAUGUGAUUUCAUUGACCAGAGAAGAACAAAUUGCCAAUCUUCCUGUGUCCGAGGUCGAAAACUUCAGUUCAGCUGCAAGGCGAAUCACCACAGGAGAGGCUGUGUUGGCUAGGAUAAUCAUGAUGACAUUGGCAAGAGCAACAGUGUUUGCUGUGAGCUUUAAUAUAUGAAUGAUAAAGAAGGAAGCAGCAAGACCAAAUAUGCUACAAACGGCCAUUCCACCAUAUGCAAUAAUGCUUGCUUUUCUCAAGUUUCGCCUUAGAUAAGGAAUAUCCGUCUCCAGUCCAAUCAAGAACAUAAAGAGUAUGUUGUAAAUGGAAGAAAAAAUAUCAUAAUAAUCAGCUGAAGAAGCUUGAAGAAAAAAAUCUUUUAUUAUGCUGAUGUGAGACAAUAAAGAGGGACCUAGCACAAUUCCAGCCAAAAUUUGAGCAACAGGUCCAGGUUGUCCCAGAGGUUUCAAGAUAAUAUGGAAGAAAUGGGAGAUGACAAGAAUGCCGGAUGCUUGCAAGGUGGUUGUAAUGAGAGGGUUAAA
rnacentral:misc_RNA from 1 species